AGUGUUUACCAACCAAGUACACAGCAGCCCUAUGUAAGAACUAGGAAUUGGGGUCCCUAGCUUUAAAUCAGGGGUGCGUUGUUUCUCUGGGAUUCGCCUCAAGGCUUUUCAGCCUAUCUAGGCGAUAACCUCUCAAAAGCGGAGCCAUUCUAGCGUCCAGGACCAGGUUUGAGGCCAUGAUGACUCAACGCAGCAUCCCCUCCCCGUGACAAACAGCUGUCUCCGCCUAUCCCCAAUCAAUCUCAACCAGGCACUCUGGGAGCCAGGAUUCCCAGUGCUUAGCUGGUGGGUAAAGGGGCUCACCCCCUUCCCCAUAACCCAGCAGGCUAGACGGUCUCUCCACCCAGACUUCUGGAGUGCGGAGCUCUCGCCAGGAUUCUGCUUAGAAGGAUGUAACCUCCAGACCGGGAAUUUAAGACGCAAGAACCAGCCAGCGAAUGUGGCAGCCUGGCUCUCAAACAAGACCUCAAGGUUCAUCCACCUGUUGAGCCUCUGGUGAGCCCCCUGUUCUAUGCCUGGUGCUACACUAGAAGCUGAGAUCAAGGCAGUAGCAAGACCUUCAAGGCACCCAUAUCUGAAGUCUGCUUGAAAGCUGAACCAUGCCACAGCCAUGUUCUGUUUCCCUCCAGCUAGGAUUUUCAUUGUAUCUCUCUCCUCCACUAAGACUGGGACCUGCUCACAUCCCCCUGCAUCCUAAGAGCAUGUUCUUCCAUGGAAGCAUGUUACAGAAUGGGAUGUAUCAUUGGAGACGCAGGGAGGAGAAGCUCCAGCAAUCCUUCUGCAGAUUCUCAAGGGAGUCCUUGUUCCAAGAUGAGAUGGGUACCAGUGACUUAUGUUCAUUCAGUUUAGAAGAGAUAAUUCUGAGAUCCCGAGGAGGACCUCCAAACCUGGACUAUCUGACACUACUGUAUUAUUUCCUGACGUUGCCUACUUGUAGAAAGCCUACAGCUAUUCUGUUUGACAGAAUGAGAAGACAAGGAACUCAUUCCUGUCAAUCCAGCUUGGGAUUCCUGGACAGUUAAGAAGCAUCAUUGAUUGGAUCUUUGGUGCUAAGGAGGAAAUGGCUAUCCACAGAGACAUUAGUGCUCAUGCCAACCUGACUUGGGCAGUGAUGAUUCCUGACAGAGCCCUUUCUGGAAACUAUCUCUUCACACACAUAGCCCCUGCUUCCUUCUUUAAGUAGCCACAUAGGGGUAUAUCUGUUAGAAUAUUGCAGGAGAGAAUAACUAGAUAGUGGCGGGGAAAGCAUUUGGGAAGCUGAUUUCUUCUGCUAUUCUGGUUAUCCCUCUAGACAGGCAAUAUUUUUGUUGAAUGGGUACAAUCAGUGCUUUCUUGGAUUUGGCAGACUUAAAAAUGAUGUGGCACAGGCCCAUUGGUACAUUGAUGUAUGGCAAGAAUAAUAAAAAUCCAGAGACAUGUUGGGGUUCAUCUGAAGAUCAGAAAAGCAAAGCAGUCAAGCACUAGAGAGACCUUUUACCUCUACCAGAUCUUCAUACUGAAUAGGCGAGAUCCUGUCUCCACAAAUCCUCAGACUCCACACCACAGUGAGUUCCUGUCUCUUCUCCUUUAUCCUCCUCUUUCUGCCCAGUCAUGUCGCUCCUCUUCCCAUGUCUCUAGUGCUGGGAUUAAAAGUGUGAACCACCACCACCUGGAUCUGUUUCUUGACCCAUCUUUGGUAACCCAGGGUGGCCUUAAACUCACAGAGAUUCGUCUGCCUCUGUCUCCUGAGUCCUGGGAUUAGAGGUGUUUGCCAUGACUCCUUGGCCUAUAUGGCUGACUAGUGUGGCUGUUUUGCCCUUAUUAAAACACAACUAAUAUAUUGAUGUGAGCAGCUUUAGAUAAUGCUGCUGUGGUUGAGAAGCACCACAUAUAAAGCGUCAGCGUGGAGUCCAGCAGAAUGAUACAGGAUUCUUAUUAAUGACUCUUUGCUUACUGUAUUGUGAAUGAAGUUGCUAAGGAAUAAAAUCUUUACAAUGAAAUAAAAUCUCAAGAAAAGGUUAGGACCUAGUAAAAACAAGUUGUGUUUUAAGAGUGUUUUCUAUAUUCAGCACUGUUGGCUUUCAUUUGUAUUUAGAGACAUGUGUUACACUUACCUGGUUCAUAGUCUUCAGAAAUAAGAAUGGACAUUAUACUUUAACAUUAAUAAGUUGCAUACACAGAACUAAACACUUUUGUUGAUAAAAGUUGACUAUAAAUGUCCACGAGUCUAUUUCCUCUUUCUUAAUAGGAGCAUCCAAGUUUAAUUAAGAAAACACUAAAGAUUUUUUUAAACAUUUAAAGAUGUGAUGAAUUAUAGCAAUGAGAGUUAUUAGGGUUUCCUUUUCCCUCCAUGCUCCCUCCACGAUACCAUUGCUCCUAAGAAGUCAUGAUGCCCCUUACUUUCCACAUCAUGAACACCAAACUGAGAGAGGAUUAAGGAGUCGGAAGGUGGUUCAGUUGGUAAAGUAUUUGCAGAAUAAGCAUGAGGGCCUAAGUUCGAUUCCCAGGACCCACAUAAAAGAAGUCAGGAAUGAUGGCAUGCAUUUAUAAUUCUAGUGCUGAGUAGAUAGAGACAGCUGGAUCCUGGGGCUCGCUGAUCACCUGGUCUAAUUCAAUAGGUGAACCACAGAUUCAAGUGCGAGUUCUGUCUCAAAAACCAAGGUGGAUGCCUUCUGAAGA